rnacentral:rRNA from 1 species
ACCAGACUCCUACGGGAGGCAGCAGUGGGGAAUAUUGCACAAUGGGGGAAACCCUGAUGCAGCGACGCCGCGUGAGCGAUGAAGUAUUUCGGUACGUAAAGCUCUAUCAGCAGGGAAGAAAAUGACGGUACCUGACUAAGAAGCCCCGGCUAACUACGUGCCAGCAGCCGCGGUAAUACGUAGGGGGCAAGCGUUAUCCGGAUUUACUGGGUGUAAAGGGAGCGUAGACGGUCCUGCAAGCCAGAUGUGAAAGCCCGGGGCUCAACCCCGGGACUGCAUUUGGAACUGUAAGGCUAGAGUGCAGGAGGGGCAGGCGGAAUUCCUAGUGUAGCGGUGAAAUGCGUAGAUAUUAGGAGGAACACCAGUGGCGAAGGCGGCCUGCUGGACUGCAACUGACGUCGAGGCUCGAAGGCGUGGGGAGCAAACAGGAUUAGAUACCCGUGUAGC